rnacentral:rRNA from 1 species
GAUGAACGCUAGCUGGAGGCUUAAUACAUGCAAGUCGAGCGGGAUUGGUAGCAAUACCAUGAGAGCGGCGCACGGGUGAGUAACGCGUACACGACCUACCUCUGACAGGGGGAUAGCCCUGGGAAACUGGGAUUAAUACCGCAUAUUAUUCUGAUUAAUAAAGGAUUGGAAUGAAAGCUGAGGCGGUCAGAGAUGGGUGUGCGUCUGAUUAGCUAGUUGGUAGGGUAACGGCCUACCAAGGCGAUGAUCAGUAGGGGGCGUGAGAGCGUGGUCCCCCACACGGGUACUGAGACACGGACCCGACUCCUACGGGAGGCAGCAGUAAGGAAUAUUGGUCAAUGGGCGAAAGCCUGAACCAGCCAUCCAGCGUGCAGGAAGAAGGCCCUAUGGGUUGUAAACUGCUUUUAUCAGGGAAGAAACCUCUGGAUUCACUCCGGAGCUGACGGUACCUGAAGAAUAAGCACCGGCUAACUCCGUGCCAGCAGCCGCGGUAAUACGGAGGGUGCGAGCGUUAUCCGGAAUUACUGGGUUUAAAGGGUGCGUAGGCGGCUUUGUAAGUCAGGAGUGAAAGUUUGCGGCUCAACCGUAAAAUUGCUUCUGAUACUGCAUAGCUAGAAUUAGGAUGAGGUCAGCGGAAU